rnacentral:rRNA from 1 species
UACGUAGGGAGCAAGCGUUAUCCGGAAUUAUUGGGUGUAAAGGGUGCGUAGACGGGAGAACAAGUUGGUUGUGAAAUCCCUUGGCUCAACUGAGGAGCUGCAACCAAAACUAUUUUUCUUGAGUACAGGAGAGGAAAGCGGAAUUCCUAGUGUAGCGGUGAAAUGCGUAGAUAUUAGGAGGAACACCAGUGGCGAAGGCGGCUUUCUGGACUGCAACUGACGUUGAGGCACGAAGGUGCGGGGAGCAAAC